AUUGAACGCUGGCGGCAGGCUUAACACAUGCAAGUCGAGCGGGGGGAGGUAGCUUGCUACCUAACCUAGCGGCGGACGGGUGAGUAAUGCUUAGGAAUCUGCCUAUUAGUGGGGGACAACAUUUCGAAAGGGAUGCUAAUACCGCAUACGCCCUAAGGGGGAAAGCAGGGGAUCUUCGGGCCUUGCGCUAAUAGAUGAGCCUAAGUCGGAUUAGCUAGUUGGUGGGGUAAAGGCCUACCAAGGCGACGAUCUGUAGCGGGUCUGAGAGGAUGAUCCGCCACACUGGGACUGAGACACGGCGCAGACUCCUACGGGAGGCAGCAGUGGGGAAUAUUGGACAAUGGGCGGAAGCCUGAUCCAGCCAUGCCGCGUGUGUGAAGAAGGCCUUUUGGUUGUAAAGCACUUUAAGCGAGGAGGAGGCUACCUGGAUUAAUACUCUAGGAUAGUGGACGUUACUCGCAGAAUAAGCACCGGCUAACUCUGUGCCAGCAGCCGCCGUAACAC
rnacentral:rRNA from 1 species